GGGGGGGGUGCGUUCUGUAAGCCUGCGAAGGUGUGCUGUGAGGCAUGCUGGAGGUAUCAGAAGUGCGAAUGCUGACAUAAGUAACGAUAAAGCGGGUGAAAAGCCCGCUCGCCGGAAGACCAAGGGUUCCUGUCCAACGUUAAUCGGGGCAGGGUGAGUCGACCCCUAAGGCGAGGCCGAAAGGCGUAGUCGAUGGGAAACAGGUUAAUAUUCCUGUACUUGGUG
rnacentral:rRNA from 1 species